GAUGAACGCUGACAGCAUGCUUAACACAUGCAAGUCAACUUUGGCGUACGGGUGAGUAACGCGUAAAGAACUUGCCUCACGGAUAGGGACCACAUUUGGAAACGAAUGCUAAUAGCUGAUACUGUGAGAGAGCUUUGCGUCACAUUAGCUAGUUGGAGAGGUAACGGCUCACCAAGGCGAUGAUGGGUAGCCGGCCUGAGAGGGUGAUCGGCCACAAGGGGACUGAGACACGGCCCUUACUCAAACGGGAGGCAGGAGUGGGGGAUAUAGGAAGAUGGACCAAAGUGUGAUCCAGGAAUUCGGUGUGCACGAUGAAGUUUUCGGAAUGUAAAGGGCUAUCAGUAGGGAAGCGGUACCAGCAGAAGAAGUGACGGCUAAAUACGUGCCAGCAGCCGCGGUAAUUC
rnacentral:rRNA from 1 species